CUUGACCGAACCGAGCAGCAGCGGGCGCUCGCGGUCGCGGCCGUAGGUCGCCAGGAGUGCCUGCGCCUC
rnacentral:antisense_RNA from 1 species